UACGAGUACCCCAAGCGUUAUCCGGAAUCAUUGGGCGUAAAGGGUGUGUAGGCGGUCUGGUUAGUCUUCUGUCAAAAUCCGGGGCUCAACCCCGGACUUGCAGAGGAAACGGCCAAACUAGAGGAUGCGAGAGGUGAAUGGAACUCAUGGAGUAGGGGUGAAAUCCGUUGAUAUCAUGGGGAACACCAAAGGCGAAGGCAAUUCACUGGCGCAUUUCUGACGCUGAAACACGAAAGCGUGGGUAGCGAAC
rnacentral:rRNA from 1 species